rnacentral:rRNA from 1 species
UACGUAGGGGCUAGCGUUGUCCGGAAUCAUUGGGCGUAAAGCGCGUGUAGGCGGCCCGGUAAGUCCGCUGUGAAAGUCGGGGGCUCAACCCUCGGAUGCCGGUGGAUACUGUCGGGCUCGAGUACGGAAGAGGCGAGUGGAAUUCCUGGUGUAGCGGUGAAAUGCGUAGAUAUUGGGAGGAACACCAGUGGCGAAGGCGGCUCACUGGACCGGAACUGACGCUGAGGCGCGAAAGCGUGGGGAGCAAACGGG